CAAGGUCGAGCGCGGGAAGCAAGCGGAUCCCCUUCGGGGGUGACGCUUGUGGAACGAGCGGCGGACGGGUGAGUAACACGUGGGCAACCUGCCUGUAAGACUGGGAUAACCCCGGGAAACCGGGGCUAAUACCGGAUAACACCGGACUCCACAUGGAGUCUGGUUGAAAGAUGGCUUCUCGCUAUCACUUACAGAUGGGCCCGCGGCGCAUUAGCUAGUUGGUGAGGUAACGGCUCACCAAGGCGACGAUGCGUAGCCGACCUGAGAGGGUGAUCGGCCACACUGGGACUGAGACACGGCCCAGACUCCUACGGGAGGCAGCAGUAGGGAAUCUUCCGCAAUGGACGAAAGUCUGACGGAGCAACGCCGCGUGAACGAUGAAGGUCUUCGGAUCGUAAAGUUCUGUUGUCAGGGAAGAACAAGUGCCGUGCGAAUAGAGCGGCACCUUGACGGUACCUGACGAGGAAGCCCCGGCUAACUACGUGCCAGCAGCCGCGGUAAUACGUAGGGGGCAAGCGUUGUCCGGAAUUAUUGGGCGUAAAGCGCGCGCAGGCGGUUUCUUAAGUCUGAUGUGAAAGCCCACGGCUCAACCGUGGAGGGUCAUUGGAAACUGGGGAACUUGAGUACAGAAGAGGAGAGUGGAAUUCCACGUGUAGCGGUGAAAUGCGUAGAUAUGUGGAGGAACACCAGUGGCGAAGGCGACUCUCUGGUCUGUAACUGACGCUGAGGCGCGAAAGCGUGGGGGAGCAAACAGGAUUAGAUACCCUGGUAGUCCACGCCGUAAACGAUGAGUGCUAGGUGUUAGGGGGCUUCCACCCCUUAGUGCUGAAGUUAACGCAUUAAGCACUCCGCCUGGGGAGUACGGCCGCAAGGCUGAAACUCAAGGAAUUGACGGGGGCCCCGCACAAGCGGUGGAGCAUGUGUUUAAUUC
rnacentral:rRNA from 1 species